AGUGAACGCUGGCGGUAGGCCUAACACAUGCAAGUCGAACGGCAGCACAGGAGAGCUUGCUCUCUGGGUGGCGAGUGGCGGACGGGUGAGGAAUACAUCGGAAUCUACUCUGUCGUGGGGGAUAACGUAGGGAAACUUACGCUAAUACCGCAUACGACCUACGGGUGAAAGCAGGGGAUCUUCGGACCUUGCGCGAUUGAAUGAGCCGAUGUCGGAUUAGCUAGUUGGCGGGGUAAAGGCCCACCAAGGCGACGAUCCGUAGCUGGUCUGAGAGGAUGAUCAGCCACACUGGAACUGGGACACGGUCCAGACGCCUACGGGAGGCAGCAGUGGGGAAUAUUGGACAAUGGGCGCAAGCCUGAUCCAGCCAUACCGCGUGGGUGAAGAAGGCCUUCGGGUUGUAAAGCCCUUUUGUUGGGAAAGAAAUCCAGCCGGCUAAUACCUGGUUGGGAUGACGGUACCCAAAGAAUAAGCACCGGCUAACUUCGUGCCAGCCGCCGCCGUAACAC
rnacentral:rRNA from 1 species